rnacentral:rRNA from 1 species
GAUGAACGCUGGCGGCGUGCCUAAUACAUGCAAGUCGAGCGAACUGAUUAGAAGCUUGCUUCUAUGACGUUAGCGGCGGACGGGUGAGUAACACGUGGGCAACCUGCCUGUAAGACUGGGAUAACUUCGGGAAACCGAAGCUAAUACCGGAUAGGAUCUUCUCCUUCAUGGGAGAUGAUUGAAAGAUGGUUUCGGCUAUCACUUACAGAUGGGCCCGCGGUGCAUUAGCUAGUUGGUGAGGUAACGGCUCACCAAGGCAACGAUGCAUAGCCGACCUGAGAGGGUGAUCGGCCACACUGGGACUGAGACACGGCCCAGACUCCUACGGGAGGCAGCAGUAGGGAAUCUUCCGUAAUGGACGAAAGUCUGACGGAGCAACGCCGCGUGAGUGAUGAAGGCUUUCGGGUCGUAAAACUCUGUUGUUAGCGAAGAACAAGUACGAGAGUAACUGCUCGUACCUUGACGGUACCUAACCAGAAAGCCACGGCUAACUACGUGCCAGCCGCCGCGGUAACAC